GGCCCCGCUCUGUGGGCCUAUAUACAGGUGAGCAACCUCAGGGCCAUCAUGGCCCUCUUGUUAUUUUUACCUCACAACCUGCUUUGUUCAAGAAAUUGGACUCAAAUAAAAAUCAGUAUGUUUACAUUGAAUUUAGAUUUAUUUACAUAUAACACAACAAGACAAUAAAUUUAAGUGUGAAAAUAAAUGGAAGGUGAUUUUACAUAACUUACAGCUUAAGCACAUGAUUUUUUUCCUGACUUUCAAUGAAAUUUCCAUGAAUUUGUUUAUAGUUUUUAAUGUUAUUGAAUUCCCUUUAUUAUAUUGUUUCAAUGUAUUGUAUUUAAACGCCUUAAAUUAAUAGAUAUUGUAACAUUAUGUUUGAAUUAUGUGCUUUUCUUGUGAACUUUUUUAAGGUCUUUGGUAUACAUGUUAUUAUUUUUGACGGAUGGUUGAUUUGUUUUAGAAAGAUCAUAUAAAAAUGUUGCCAUCCCAUGUUUUCAUUUAUUUAUCAUUCAAAUUUUACAAUUACUUUUUCUCAGAGAGUGAAAUUGUACUAUUUUUAAAUGUAAUUAAGAGAAAUUAAGUCAUUGUUAUUGCAUGUCUAAACAUGUGGGUGAUUUUUCUUCUAUUGUAAACUGUCUUCUCCUUAUUAGAUUUUACACUUUCUGAAGUUUUUGGGUGUAGCGAAUUCAUGUUGGUUGUUUCUGAAAUUUUAUGGUGUAGCAGAUUCAUGGUAGUUGUCAAGUUAGCCAUUCCUUCCUUCAUUCUCCUGUCACACUUAAUGUUUCUUUCUCCCACUGACAUUUUGCUUUGGUACUUUCUAUGGUCCAUGAACAUGCUUUGAAGGUUGGUGAUGUUCCAUUCACUAAAGAUAUUUUUUUCUGUUUUCAGUUCUUUUGUAACUUAAUGCAUGGCAAGACUCUAAGAGUUUCAUCUUAUAUUGAUUUAUUCAGUGGCAAAAGGUUGUUUACCAGAGGCGAAAUAAAACCAUAUUUGUGGUCCUUAGCAUAUCACAAUGUACUUUUUAGCACCAGGAUAAAGAAAAUUAUUUGAGCUGUGUCAUGACAAAACUAACAUAAUGGGUUUGCAACCAACAUGGAUCCAGACCAACCUGCGCAUCCCCGCAGUCUGUUCAGGAUCCAUCCUGUUCGCUAUCGGUUUCUUUACUGGUUAUAGAGUUUGUAAGCGAACAGCAUGGAUCCUGAUCAGACUGCUCGGAUGCGCAGUCUGGUCUGGAUCCAUGCUGGUCGCAAACCCAUUAUGUUGGUUUUGUCAUGACACAGCUCAUAUGUGUCUCCAUAAAUCUACAGGUCCUUUGAUCAGUGCCACAUGUGGAAAUUAACCAAAACAAAAAUAAGUACAAUAUGUAAAAAGGAGAAUAUUAAUAAAACAUUAUAUGUAAGAAUAGUUCAAUUUUCUGUAUUUUUGAUAUUGUGUGUUGUAAAUAUGUAAAAGUUUGACAUGUGUUGGUCGUCAUGCAAACUGUGUUGUCUUCUAGGCAACAUGUGUUGCUUUUUGCAUAUAAAAAUAUGUUUUGUUUUGUUUUUUGACAACUUAGACUGUUUUAAACAACGUGUACAGGGUUUCCAUUAAAUUAAAAAAAUUGGAAGUCAGAGACUGCAAAAUCACUGACAUUGGGAGUCAUAUUACUAGGAAAAGCAUUAGUAUUUGAAAAUCACAAGCCAAAAACAAGGAGUAAAUGACUCCCAAACUUCAUUAAUGGAAGCUCUAUGUGCAUUGUACAAGUAUUAUGUUGUUUCUGGUACAUAGCGUGAUUUACAUAGGCCAACUGGUGUAAGAUGUAAGGUUUUGAUUAUCCUUUAAUAUCUAGAUUGUAGUUUUAGUAAUCGCUGAAUGGAAAAUCCAAAAGGAGGCUUUGCAAAGGCAUGUACAUUUUUGCCAAAGUGUUGUGUAUCACAUGACUAUCAAAUCCAUUUAAAAUAAAGAUUUUUGGUCAUGAAUAUUGUACUUUGCAAUCCAUAUAAAGAUAUAGUUACAUAAGUACCUAUAAUGUAUCGAAAUACACAAAACAUCUCUGAUUAGCACUAGUUUGAAAGAAGUAACAAAUGUUUUUUAGGCAAUGCAUGUUCUAUUUGGUUACCAUGUCUUACUUUAUGUGAUAAAGUUUUUUCUCAAAAUCUAUUAUUGAUAACUAUAUUGUCUGAAAUAAAAAUUAAAUUAUGCAAAAAUU